rnacentral:rRNA from 1 species
AACAGGAUUAGAUACCCUGGUAGUCCACGCCGUAAACGAUGUCGACUUGGAGGUUGUGCCCUUGAGGCGUGGCUUCCGGAGCUAACGCGUUAAGUCGACCGCCUGGGGAGUACGGCCGCAAGGUUAAAACUCAAAUGAAUUGACGGGGGCCCGCACAAGCGGUGGAGCAUGUGGUUUAAUUCGAUGCAACGCGAAGAACCUUACCUACUCUUGACAUCCACGGAAUUUGUCAGAGAUGCCUUGGUGCCUUCGGGAACCGUGAGACAGGUGCUGCAUGGCUGUCGUCAGCUCGUGUUGUGAAAUGUUGGGUUAAGUCCCGCAACGAGCGCAACCCUUAUCCUUUGUUGCCAGCGGUUCGGCCGGGAACUCAAAGGAGACUGCCGGUGAUAAACCGGAGGAAGGUGGGGAUGACGUCAAGUCAUCAUGGCCCUUACGAGUAGGGCUACACACGUGCUACAAUGGCGCAUACAAAGAGAAGCGACCUGGCGAGAGCAAGCGGACCUCACAAAGUGCGUCGUAGUCCGGAUCGGAGUCUGCAACUCGACUCCGUGAAGUCGGAAUCGCCAGUAAUCGUGGAUCAGAAUGCCACGGUGAAUACGUUCCCGGGCCUUGUACACACCGCCCGUCACACCAUGGGAGUGGGUUGCAAAAGAAGUAGGUAGCUUAACCUUCGGGAGGGCGCUUACCACUUUGUGAUUCAUGACUGGGGCGAAGUCGUAACAAGGUAACC